rnacentral:rRNA from 1 species
GACGAACGCUGGCGGCGUGCUUAACACAUGCAAGUCGAACGGAAAGGCCCUGCUUUUGUGGGGUGCUCGAGUGGCGAACGGGUGAGUAACACGUGAGUAACCUGCCCUUGACUUUGGGAUAACUUCAGGAAACUGGGGCUAAUACCGGAUAGGAGCUCCUGCUGCAUGGUGGGGGUUGGAAAGUUUCGGCGGUUGGGGAUGGACUCGCGGCUUAUCAGCUUGUUGGUGGGGUAGUGGCUUACCAAGGCUUUGACGGGUAGCCGGCCUGAGAGGGUGACCGGCCACAUUGGGACUGAGAUACGGCCCAGACUCCUACGGGAGGCAGCAGUGGGGAAUAUUGCACAAUGGGCGGAAGCCUGAUGCAGCAACGCCGCGUGCGGGAUGACGGCCUUCGGGUUGUAAACCGCUUUCGCCUGUGACGAAGCGUGAGUGACGGUAAUGGGUAAAGAAGCACCGGCUAACUACGUGCCAGCAGCCGCGGUGAUACGUAGGGUGCGAGCGUUGUCCGGAUUUAUUGGGCGUAAAGGGCUCGUAGGUGGUUUGAUCGCGUCGGAAGUGUAAUCUUGGGGCUUAACCCUGAGCGUGCUUUCGAUACGGGUUGACUUGAGGAAGGUAGGGGAGAAUGGAAUUCCUGGUGGAGCGGUGGAAUGCGCAGAUAUCAGGAGGAACACCAGUGGCGAAGGCGGUUCUCUGGGCCUUUCCUGACGCUGAGGAGCGAAAGCGUGGGGAGCGAACAGGCUUAGAUACCCUGGUAGUCCACGCUGUAAACGGUGGGUACUAGGUGUGGGGUCCAUUCCACGGGUUCCGCGCCGUAGCUAACGCUUUAAGUACCCCGCCUGGGGAGUACGGCCGCAAGGCUAAAACUCAAAGGAAUUGACGGGGCCCCGCACAAGCGGCGGAGCAUGCGGAUUAAUUCGAUGCAACGCGUAGAACCUUACCUGGGUUUGACAUGGAUCGGGAGUGCUCAGAGAUGGGUGUGCCUCUUUUGGGGUCGGUUCACAGGUGGUGCAUGGCUGUCGUCAGCUCGUGUCGUGAGAUGUUGGGUUAAGUCCCGCAACGAGCGCAACCCUUGUUCACUGUUGCCAGCACGUUAUGGUGGGGACUCAGUGGAGACCGCCGGGGUCAACUCGGAGGAAGGUGGGGAUGACGUCAAGUCAUCAUGCCCCUUAUGUCCAGGGCUUCACGCAUGCUACAAUGGCUGGUACAGAGAGUGGCGAGCCUGUGAGGGUGAGCGAAUCUCGGAAAGCCGGUCUCAGUUCGGAUUGGGGUCUGCAACUCGACCUCAUGAAGUCGGAGUCGCUAGUAAUCGCAGAUCAGCAACGCUGCGGUGAAUACGUUCCCGGG